GCUGGGUUAGCUCAGCUGGUUAGAGUGUGGUGCUAAUAAUGCCAAGGUCAUGGGUUCAAUCCCUGCUCACUGCA
rnacentral:tRNA from 1 species